UCCAGACUCCUACGGGAGGCAGCAGCGGGGAAUAUUGGGCAAUGGGCGCAAGCCUGACCCAGCAACGCCGCGUGAAGGAAGAAGGCUUUCGGGUUGUAAACUUCUUUUAAGAGGGAAGAGUAGAAGACGGUACCUCUUGAAUAAGCCACGACUAACUACGUGCCAGCAGCCGCGGUAAUACGUAGGUGGCAAGCGUUAUCCGGAUUUACUGGGUGUAAAGGGCGUGUAGGCGGGACUGCAAGUCAGAUGUGAAAACCAUGGGCUCAACCUAUGGCCUGCAUUUGAAACUGUAGUUCUUGAGUACUGGAGAGGCAGACGGAAUUCCUAGUGUAGCGGUGAAAUGCGUAGAUAUUAGGAGGAACACCAGUGGCGAAGGCGGUCUGCUGGACAGCAACUGACGCUGAGGCGCGAAAGCGUGGGGAGCAAACAGGAUUAGAUACCCGAGUAUUA
rnacentral:rRNA from 1 species